GACAGAGGUCCCGAGCGUUAGGCGGAAUCACUGGGCUUAAAGCGUGUGUAGGCGGAUGCCUAAGUACCUUGUGAAAUCCCACGGCUCAACCGUGGAACUGCUUGGUAUACUGGGCGUCUUGAGCCACUUAGGGGCAACCGGAACAAAUGGUGGAGCGGUGAAAUGCGUAGAUAUCGGGAAGAACACCCGUGGCUAAGGCGGCUCUCUAGUACGGUACUGACGCUGAGACGCGAAAGCGUGGGGAGCGAACAGG
rnacentral:rRNA from 1 species